GAUGAAGAACGUAGCGAAAUGCGAUAAGUAAUGUGAAUUGCAGAAUUCAGUGAAUCAUCGAAUCUUUGAACGCACAUUGCGCCGCCAGUAUUCUGGCGGGCAUGCCUGUUCGAGCGUCAUUUCAACCAUCAAGCCCCCGGCUUGUGUUGGGGACCUGCGGCUGCCGCAGGCCCUGAAAACCAGUGGCGGGCUCGCUAGUCACUCCGAGCGUAGUAGUUACAUCUCGCUCAGGGCGUGCUGCGGGUUCCGGCCGUUAAAAGCCUUAUUUACCCAAGGUUGACCUCGGAUCAGGUAGGAAGACCCGCUGAACUUAAGCAUAUCAAUAAGCGGAAGA
rnacentral:misc_RNA from 1 species